AUUGAACGCUGGCGGCAGGCCUAACACAUGCAAGUCGAGCGAGAGGCGCAGAGGGGUGUAAUGUGUGUGGACUGCCCGAUAGAGGGGGAUAACUACUGGAAACGGUGGCUAAAACCCCAUACGAUCGGAUAAUCCAGAUGGGAUUAGCUCGUGGGUGAGGUAAUGGCUCACCAAGGCGACGAGCCCUAGCUGUUCUGAGAGGAUGAGCAGCCACACGGGGACUGAGACACGGCCCAGACGCCUACGGAGGCAGCAGUGGGGAAUAUUGCACAAUGGGCGCAAGCCUGAUGCAGCCAUGCCGCGUGUAUGAAGAAGGCCUUAGGGUUGUAAAGUACUUUCAGCGGGGAGGCGUUACCGACAGAAGAAGCACCGGCUAACUCCGUGCCAGCAGCCGCGGUAAUAC
rnacentral:rRNA from 1 species